UACAGAGGUCUCAAGCGUUGUUCGGAUUCAUUGGGCGUAAAGGGUGCGUAGGUGGCGCCGUAAGUCAGGUGUGAAAUUUCGGAGCUCAACUCCGAAACUGCAUUUGAUACUGCGGUGCUUGAGGACUGGAGAGGAGACUGGAAUUCACGGUGUAGCAGUGAAAUGCGUAGAGAUCGUGAGGAAGACCAGUGGCGAAGGCGGGUCUCUGGACAGUUCCUGACACUGAGGCACGAAGGCCAGGGGAGCAAACGGG
rnacentral:rRNA from 1 species